rnacentral:rRNA from 1 species
UACGGAGGAUCCGAGCGUUAUCCGGAUUUAUUGGGUUUAAAGGGUGCGCAGGCGGGAGAUUAAGUCGGCGGUGAAAUUUUGCAGCUCAACUGUAAAAGUGCCUUCGAAACUGGUUUCCUUGAGUGUAGAUGAAGUAGGCGGAAUUUGUGGUGUAGCGGUGAAAUGCUUAGAUAUCACGAGGAACUCCGAUUGCGCAGGCAGCUUACUAAACCACUACUGACGCUCAGGCACGAAGGCGUGGGGAUCAAACAGGAUUAGAUACCCCUGUAGUCCCU